GUUAUAAAGCUGAGAGGUGAUCGAACCGGUAUACAUAGAACAAUAACUAGCCUUGGCGACAGCUUGGAUUAUUUGGCAUGUCGCCAACUACGUGGAUACGUUGUCAAAUCAAUUCCGGCUUUGUCCAGAAACAUUGGAGUCACUGCACAGACCUGUUUGUCUGCAUUACGGACUUGAAUUAGGCAACGGUGAUUGCGAAGCCAGACCUGUACAAGUCUACUAAACUCCUACAAUGUGUAGUAAGACUGUAGGCAUGAAAUGUUGGUGCUACUUUGUUUUAGGAAAAGGCACCUCCAAUGGAUAUGUGUUGAGAAAAUGCUGUGGCGCGACAACGGAAUUGAACCUCCGACAGAUUCCAGCGUCGGCUUUUGUGGUUGAAAUUAUCAUACUCACCCGAUGAGUUUCAGAAAGCUCUGGGAUAUAUACCUCUGGCAGCUAAACAACUUUCAGUUUGUUGAUAUGGCUUCUGGUCGGAAGAAUAAGCAGGAAGCGAACAUCAAAACCGGGGAGAGUUUUGACUUGGUAACGAAGUCUUUGUCAUAAGCUUUAUUGCAGGUUUCAGCCAAGAAGACGUGGGACGAUGAUUUAAGCUGAACUAUAUGCAUGCUCAUCGGGGAGAAAAGGCAUGCACCUGGCAAUGAUAUAAUAUGCCCAAUGAAAUAUCUAGAGGGAAGAGAGAUAGAAAUUAAUGCCAGCAUACAUUUACCAGAAGACAUCGAGGAAGAGUGUUUGACAAAACACGAAAACCCUGUAAUUAAUCUUAAACUCUCAUCCGGGGACUUUGAGUCAAUCAUAUGCAAUGAAGCUUUUAAUCUCGGUGUAUGUAAUUGCAUAGAGGUCCAAGAAAAUGUCCUCAAUUGCAGUUUGGUUUUACCCGACAACAGGGCCAAAUAUGAGGGUGCAGAAGUUACCUUUAAGUAUUACAGUCUAUUACCUACUUGCGGACAGUCUACAGGGCCCGACAAGUCCUGCAGAAUUACUUAUGACGCUUCCUCUGGAGCUGAUGGUCCAACCUCUGGUGGAGUCUCUCUGGGUCUAAUCAUCAUCCUUAUCGCAUUGAGCUUUCUGCCAUGGCUGUUCUGUUGAGGAGACAUAAAUCUACUGUUUCUGCCUGAUUGAAGCGAAAAUGCACACCACUGCAUGUCCAGGAUAUUCUGAGAUCAAAUGUGCGAAUGUUCAUCUAUCAUCCCAUGGGACGUCUCUUCUAUGCACCAUGCACUACAUAUCAAUGAUGUUUAAAAAAGAAGAAUGACGAGAAUACUGAAGACAACGACCGCUAAAUAUUUCUUCACCACUUUAAUCUUCAUUGGAUAUCCAGCAUCUGAUAAUAACAGCAAAUCCUUUGGAUGACGGAAUAUAAUAUUCUCGCUCUUAUCAACACUGCUAUUCUGGUAGAAGAGUGAAAUUAAUUUAACAAACUCCUUUUGUAAAUAUUGUCAAAUUUGUAUAUGUAUCAAAACGAGGAUUGUGAAAAACCACCUGUAUACUCAACGCAUGCAGUCGACAUUUUUGAGGCAUUUAUUAGCUGUUGAAGCAUUUAUGAAUACUUUUUUUUCUAAAAAGGGUUCAUUGGUAUUGUGUUUAGAGUUGUAUGGUAGCUUACAGGAACAUGAAAUACAUCUUUUUACCAAGAAGCAAGAAUUUAAAACUUUGGUAAUUUUAAACCAUUGACCGGCAAUGUAAAUGAUUCCUUGGACGAAUACAGUGUUUGUAUGCAUGUGUGUACUAAUACAGAUUUACUCAUGAUUUACAACAAAAAGUUGUUUACUUUUUGCCACAUCUGCAUCGUCGAUGUGACCAAAGAACUGUGGAAUCAAAAGAUAUUGCUCCUUUUUUGUUAGCUGUCAAGAACAAAACAUAACCAAAGGGAGGUAAUAUCACGACGGUAGUAUUAUUGAUGUAAAAUGGACAGGGUUAGUUUAAAGUUUAUCUUAAAUGAUGUGUCAUAUUGACAGUCAGUAAAAAGUGUUGCCAAAUCUACACUUCAUCACUUUAAUAUCCUGCAUGGCUGGCUGAUCACAGUUUUUUCAAUAUCUUGUUCAGUAAGCCAAAAAAAACAAAAUGGUGUCUAAGACACUUCUUCAUACUUUUGAUACAAAUCCUGGUUUGCCUUUAUGGCUUCGGUUCUCGUUUAUAUGUAUUUAUGUACUUAAGUCCUGCUUUUCUGUGUUUCACUCAAAAUUUAAAAAAUAUUUUUAUGACCAAAUCCUUGAGAUUGUGCUGAUGCUUUUUGUAUGUGCCUUUUUAUCAUUAAAAAAGGAUAACUA